GAUGAAGAACGUAGCGAAAUGCGAUAAGUAGUGUGAAUUGCAGACUUUAGUGAAUCAUCGAAUCUUUGAACGCACAUUGCGCCCCUUGGUAUUCCAUUGGGCAUGCCUGUUCGAGCGUCAUUUACAACCUCAAGCUCCGUUUGGUGUUGGGUGUCUGUCUGCGCUUCUUGCGAAGACUCGCCCUAAAUCUAUUGGCAGCGGCAUCGCCGGCUUCUCGCGCAGUACAAUGCGUUAUGGAAGGCUACCGGCGGGCUUGCGUCCAUCAAGUAACCCCCCAAGUUUGACCUCGAAUCAGGUAGGGAUACCCGCUGAACUUAAGCAUAUCAAUAAGCGGAGGA
rnacentral:misc_RNA from 1 species